rnacentral:rRNA from 1 species
AGUGAACGCUGGCGGUAGGCCUAACACAUGCAAGUCGAACGGCAGCACAGGAGAGCUUGCUCUCUGGGUGGCGAGUGGCGGACGGGUGAGGAAUACAUCGGAAUCUACCCUUUCGUGGGGGAUAACGUAGGGAAACUUACGCUAAUACCGCAUACGAUCUGAGGAUGAGAGCAGGGGACCGCAAGGCCCUGCGCGAUUGGAUGAGCCGAUGUCCGAUUAGCUAGUUGGCGGGGUAAAGGCCCACCAAGGCGACGAUCGGUAGCUGGUCUGAGAGGAUGAUCAGCCACACUGGAACUGAGACACGGUCCAGACUCCUACGGGAGGCAGCAGUGGGGAAUAUUGGACAAUGGGCGCAAGCCUGAUCCAGCCAUGCCGCGUGUGUGAAGAAGGCCUUCGGGUUGUAAAGCACUUUUGUUGGGAAAGAAAUCCUGUCGGCUAAUACCCGGCGGGGAUGACGGUACCCAAAGAAUAAGCACCGGCUAACUUCGUGCCAGCCGCCGCGGUAA